rnacentral:rRNA from 1 species
GAUGAACGCUGGCGGCGUGCUUAACACAUGCAAGUCGAACGGUGAAGGCGGAGCUUGCUCUGCUGGAUCAGUGGCGAACGGGUGAGUAACACGUGAGCAAUCUGCCCCUGACUCUGGGAUAAGCGCUGGAAACGGCGUCUAAUACUGGAUACGAGCUGCGAAGGCAUCUUCAGCAGCUGGAAAGAAUUUCGGUCAGGGAUGAGCUCGCGGCCUAUCAGCUUGUUGGUGAGGUAAUGGCUCACCAAGGCGUCGACGGGUAGCCGGCCUGAGAGGGUGACCGGCCACAUGGGGACUGAGAGAGGGCCCAGACUCCUACGGGAGGCAGCGGGGGGAAAUAUGGCGCAGUGGGGGAGAGCGUGAGGCGGCAGCGCCGGGGGAGGAAAAACGGCUUUGGGGUGAAAAACCUCUUUGGGAGGGAAAGAAGAGAACGGGACGGUACCUAAAAAAAAAGCCCCGGCUAACUACGUG